UAUGACCACAACACAUUGAAACACCGGUUUCGGUAUGAUCACCGAAGAUAAGCGACGUCGAACCGGGUCAGUACCGAGAUGGGUGGCCGUUUUGGGAAUACCAGACGCUGUAAG